GAUGAACGCUGGCGGCGUGCUUAACACAUGCAAGUCGAACGAUGAAGCCCAGCUUGCUGGGUGGAUUAGUGGCGAACGGGUGAGUAACACGUGAGUAACCUGCCCUUGACUCUGGGAUAAGCCUGGGAAACUGGGUCUAAUACCGGAUAGGAACGUCCACCGCAUGGUGGUUGUUGGAAAGAUUUAUCAGUCAUGGAUGGACUCGCGGCCUAUCAGCUUGUUGGUGAGGUAAUGGCUCACCAAGGCGACGACGGGUAGCCGGCCUGAGAGGGUGACCGGGCACACUGGGACUGAGACGCGGCCCAGACUCCUACGGGAGGCAGCAGUGGGGAAUAUUGCACAAUGGGCGAAAGCCUGAUGCAGCGACGCCGCGUGAGGGAUGACGGCCUUCGGGUUGUAAACCUCUUUCAGUAGGGAAGAAGCGAAAGUGACGGUACCUGCAGAAGAAGCACCGGCUAACUACGUGCCAGCAGCCGCGGUAAAAC
rnacentral:rRNA from 1 species